UCUGGGUGCAGUGGCAUGCGUACCUGUAGUCCUGGCCACUUGGGAGACUGAGGCAGGAGGCUCACUUGAGCCCAGGAGUUCAGAGUUGUAGCCGAUUAGGUGUCUGCACUAAGCUUGCCAUCAAUAUAGUGACUUCCUGGGAGUGGAGGACGACAGGUUUCCUAAGGAGGGGUGAACUGGUCCAGGUUGGAAACAAGGGAAUGUUAAAAAUACCAUGGGCACGGUAGCUCACACCUGUAAUCCUAGCACUUUGGGAGGCUGCAGCAGGAGGAUCAAUUGAGCCCAGGAGUUGGAGAUCAGCCUGAGUAAUGCAGUGAGACCCUGUCCCU
rnacentral:SRP_RNA from 10 species